rnacentral:rRNA from 1 species
AUUGAACGCUGGCGGCAUGCCUUACACAUGCAAGUCGAACGGCAGCACGGGUGCUUGCACCUGGUGGCGAGUGGCGAACGGGUGAGUAAUACAUCGGAACGUACCUUAUCGUGGGGGAUAACGCAGCGAAAGCUGUGCUAAUACCGCAUACGCCCCGAGGGGGAAAGCGGGGGAUCGAAAGACCUCGCGCGAUUAGAGCGGCCGAUGCCUGAUUAGCUUGUUGGUGGGGUAAAAGCCCACCAAGGCGACGAUCAGUAGCUGGUCUGAGAGGACGAUCAGCCACACUGGGACUGAGACACGGCCCAGACUCCUACGGGAGGCAGCAGUGGGGAAUUUUGGACAAUGGGGGCAACCCUGAUCCAGCAAUGCCGCGUGAGUGAAGAAGGCCUUCGGGUUGUAAAGCUCUUUUGUCAGGGAAGAAACACCGGCUCUAACACAGUCUGGGAAUGACGGUACCUGAAGAAUAAGCACCGGCUAACUACGUGCCAGCAGCCGCAGUAA